rnacentral:rRNA from 1 species
AACGAACGCUGGCGGCAGGCCUAACACAUGCAAGUCGAACGCCCCGCAAGGGGAGUGGCAGACGGGUGAGUAACGCGUGGGAAUUCCCCCCUUGGUACGGAAUAACUCGGGGAAACUCGAGCUAAUACCGUAUGAUCCGGUAACGGCAAAGAUUUAUCGCCGAGGGAGAAGCCCGCGUUGGAUUAGCUAGUUGGUGAGGUAAUGGCUCACCAAGGCUACGAUCCAUAGCUGGUCUGAGAGGAUGAUCAGCCACACUGGGACUGAGACACG